rnacentral:rRNA from 1 species
AGUGAACGCUGGCGGUAGGCCUAACACAUGCAAGUCGAACGGCAGCACAGUAAGAGCUUGCUCUUACGGGUGGCGGGUGGCGGACGGGUGAGGAAUACAUCGGAAUCUACUUUUUCGUGGGGGAUAACGUAGGGAAACUUGCGCUAAUACCGCAUACGACCUACGGGUGAAAGCAGGGGAUCUUCGGACCUUGCGCGAUUGAAUGAGCCGAUGUCGGAUUAGCUAGUUGGCGGGGUAAAGGCCCACCAAGGCGACGAUCCGUAGCUGGUCUGAGAGGAUGAUCAGCCACACUGGAACUGAGACACGGUCCAGACUCCUACGGGAGGCAGCAGUGGGGAAUAUUGGACAAUGGGCGCAAGCCUGAUCCAGCCAUACCGCGUGGGUGAAGAAGGCCUUCGGGUUGUAAAGCCCUUUUGUUGGGAAAGAAAAGCAGCAGGUUAAUACCCCGCUGUUCCGACGGUACCCAAAGAAUAAGCACCGGCUAACUUCGUG